UACAGAGGGGGCAAGCGUUAUUCGGAAUUAUUGGGCGUAAAGGGCGCGUAGGCGGCUUUUCAAGUGACGGGUGAAAUCCCUCGGCUUAACCGAGGAACUGCCUGUCAGACUGGAAGGCUUGAGACCGGGAGAGGUGAGUGGAACUCCGAGUGUAGAGGUGAAAUUCGUAGAUAUUCGGAAGAACACCAGUGGCGAAGGCGGCUCACUGGUCCGGUACUGACGCUGAGGUGCGAAAGCGUGGGGAGCAAACAGG
rnacentral:rRNA from 1 species